rnacentral:rRNA from 1 species
AUGAACGCUGGCGGCGUGCCUAAUACCUGCCAGUCGAGCGAACAGACGAGGAGCUUGCUCCUCUGAUGUUAGCGGCGGACGGGUGAGUAACACGUGGAUAACCUACCUAUAAGACUGGGAUAACUUCGGGAAACCGGAGCUAAUACCGGAUAACAUGUUGAACCGCAUGGUUCAACAGUGAAAGACGGUCUUGCUGUCACUUAUAGAUGGAUCCGCGCCGCAUUAGCUAGUUGGUAAGGUAACGGCUUACCAAGGCAACGAUGCGUAGCCGACCUGAGAGGGUGAUCGGCCACACUGGAACUGAGACACGGUCCAGACUCCUACGGGAGGCAGCAGUAGGGAAUCUUCCGCAAUGGGCGAAAGCCUGACGGAGCAACGCCGCGUGAGUGAAGAAGGUCUUCGGAUCGUAAAACUCUGUUAUUAGGGAAGAACAAAUGUGUAAGUAACUAUGCACGUCUUGACGGUACCUAAUCAGAAAGCCACGGCUAACUACGUG